GACGAAGCGUGCGAACGUUGUUCGGAAUCACUGGGCUUAAAGGGCGCGUAGGCGGCUCUCUUGGUCGUGGGUGAAAUCCCCCAGCUUAACUGGGGAAGGGCUUACGAUACCGGGGGGCUCGAGGGAGGAAGGGGCGGUCGGAACUGUCGGUGGAGCGGUGAAAUGUGUUGAUAUCGACAGGAACGCCGGUGGCGAAAGCGGACCGCUGGCCCUCUUCUGACGCUGAGGCGCGAAAGCCAGGGGAGCGAACGGG
rnacentral:rRNA from 1 species